rnacentral:rRNA from 1 species
GAUGAACGCUGGCGGCGUGCCUAAUACAUGCAAGUCGAGCGAACGGACGAGAAGCUUGCUUCUCUGAUGUUAGCGGCGGACGGGUGAGUAACACGUGGAUAACCUACCUAUAAGACUGGGAUAACUUCGGGAAACCGGAGCUAAUACUGGAUAAUAUUUUGAACCGCAUGGUUCAAAAGUGAAAGACGGUCUUGCUGUCACUUAUAGAUGGAUCCGCGCUGCAUUAGCUAGUUGGUAAGGUAACGGCUUACCAAGGCAACGAUGCAUAGCCGACCUGAGAGGGUGAUCGGCCACACUGGAACUGAGACACGGUCCAGACUCCUACGGGAGGCAGCAGUAGGGAAUCUUCCGCAAUGGGCGAAAGCCUGACGGAGCAACGCCGCGUGAGUGAUGGAGGUCUUCGGAUCGUAAAACUCUGUUAUUAGGGAAGAACAUAUGUGUAAGUAACUGUGCACAUCUUGACGGUACCUAAUCAGAAAGCCACGGCUAACUACGU